rnacentral:rRNA from 1 species
AAGUUAUUAAGGGCGCACGGUGGAUGCCUUGGCACUAGAAGCCGAUGAAGGACGUUACUAACGACGAUAUGCUUUGGGGAGCUGUAAGUAAGCUUUGAUCCAGAGAUUUCCGAAUGGGGAAACCCAGCAUGAGUUAUGUCAUGUUAUCGAUAUGUGAAUACAUAGCAUAUCAGAAGGCACACCCGGAGAACUGAAACAUCUUAGUACCCGGAGGAAGAGAAAGAAAAUUCGAUUCCCUUAGUAGCGGCGAGCGA